AGAAGGCGUCCAGUUGCUGCUUCCUGAAUUCGCCUUCUGUUUUGGUCCAAAUCGUUAUUUGCGAUCAUGCAGGUGCAACACAGGGUCCUGGCACUCGCAGCUGCGGUGGUCCUGCUCCUGGCCAUUGUAGCGGCCGAUCAACCCCUGACUUCUUCGGACCCCACCACUCCGGCAGGGAGCCAGACAACAGAGCCAAUGGUAAACUCAGAGCCUGUCAUCUCCGGCAAAUCCGAGGCUUCGGGAGAAAGUGAGAUCGGGAGCCCCAUGGAACAGGUGACGGCAGG